rnacentral:rRNA from 1 species
UACGGGGGGGGCAAGCGUUGUUCGGAAUUACUGGGCGUAAAGGGCUCGUAGGCGGCCAACUAAGUCGGACGUGAAAUCCCCAGGCUCAACCUGGGAACUGCGUCCGAUACUGGAUGGCUUGAAUUCGGGAGAGGGAUGCAGAAUUCCAGGUGUAGCGGUGAAAUGCGCAGAUAUCGGGAGGAACACCAGUAGCGAAGGCGGCUCGCUGGGCCAUUCCUGACGCUGAGGCGCGAAAGCGUGGGGAGCAAACAGG